rnacentral:tRNA from 1 species
GCGGACGUGGCGAAACGGUAGACGCACAGCACUAAGGAUGCUGUGGAUAAUAAUCCGUGGGGGUUCGAUUCCCCCCGUCCGCACCA